rnacentral:sRNA from 1 species
CCUGCUGCGGGCAGAUAUAGUGAACGUGUGUGUCUAUACCGCCUGCGGUCACGAUCAUGCCCUCGCCGGCGAUGACUUCCGUGCCUGCGCCUACUACAAGAUCAGGGGAUAUGCCGUCCAUAAUGUCGGGAUUGCCUGCUUUACCUAUACCUGCGAUCUUUCCGUCCUUUAUUCCGAUAUCCGCCUUUACAACGCCCCAGUAAUCGAGUAUCAGCGCAUUUGUGAUAAGGGUAUCGAGGGCUCCGCCCGCAUUGGUGAUAUCGGAUUUCUGUCCCAUGCCGUCACG